AGACCCGAAACCCGGUGAUCUAGCCAUGGGCAGGUUGAAGGUUGGGUAACACUAACUGGAGGACCGAACCGACUAAUGUUGAAAAAUUAGCGGAUGACCUGUGGCUGGGGGUGAAAGGCCAAUCAAACCGGGAGAUAGCUGGUUCUCCCCGAAAGCUAUUUAGGUAGCGCCUCGUGAAUUCAUCUCCGGGGGUAGAGCACUGUUUCGGCUAGGGGGCCAUCCCGGCUUACCAACCCGAUGCAAACUGCGAAUACCGGAGAAUGUUAUCACGGGAGACACACGGCGGGUGCUAACGUCCGUCGUGAAGAGGGAAACAACCCAGACCGCCAGCUAAGGUCCCAAAGUCAUGGUUAAGUGGGAAACGAUGUGGGAAGGCCCAGACAGCCAGGAUGUUGGCUUAGAAGCAGCCAUCAUUUAAAGAAAGCGUAAUAGCUCACUGGUCGAGUCGGCCUGCGCGGAAGAUGUAACGGGGCUAAACCAUGCACCGAAGCUGCGGCAGCGACGCUUAUGCGUUGUUGGGUAGGGGAGCGUUCUGUAAGCCUGUGAAGGUGUGUCGUGAGGCAUGCUGGAGGUAUCAGAAGUGCGAAUGCUGACAUAAGUAACGAUAAAGCGGGUGAAAAGCCCGCUCGCCGGAAGACCAAGGGUUCCUGUCCAACGUUAAUCGGGGCAGGGUGAGUCGACCCCUAAGGCGAGGCCGAAAGGCGUAGUCGAUGGGAAACGGGUUAAUAUUCCCGUACUUGGUGUUACUGCGAAGGGGGGACGGAGAAGGCUAUGUUGGCCGGGCGACGGUUGUCCCGGUUUAAGCGUGUAGGUGUGUGUUCCAGGUAAAUCCGGUUCACUUUAACACUGAGGCGUGAUGACGAGGCACUACGGUGCUGAAGUAACAAAUGCCCUGCUUCCAGGAAAAGCCUCUAAGCAUCAGGUAACAUCAAAUCGUACCCCAAACCGACACAGGUGGUCAGGUAGAGAAUACCAAGGCGCUUGAGAGAACUCGGGUGAAGGAACUAGGCAAAAUGGUGCCGUAACUUCGGGAGAAGGCACGCUGACACGUAGGUGAAGUGAUUUACUCAUGGAGCUGAAGUCAGUCGAAGAUACCAGCUGGCUGCAACUGUUUAUUAAAAACACAGCACUGUGCAAACACGAAAGUGGACGUAUACGGUGUGACGCCUGCCCGGUGCCGGAAGGUUAAUUGAUGGGGUCAGCGCAAGCGAAGCUCCUGAUCGAAGCCCCGGUAAACGGCGGCCGUAACUAUAACGGUCCUAAGGUAGCGAAAUUCCUUGUCGGGUAAGUUCCGACCUGCACGAAUGGCGUAAUGAUGGCCAGGCUGUCUCCACCCGAGACUCAGUGAAAUUGAACUCGCUGUGAAGAUGCAGUGUACCCGCGGCAAGACGGAAAGACCCCGUGAACCUUUACUAUAGCUUGACACUGAACAUUGAGCCUUGAUGUGUAGGAUAGGUGGGAGGCUUUGAAGUGUGGACGCCAGUCUGCAUGGAGCCGACCUUGAAAUACCACCCUUUAAUGUUUGAUGUUCUAACGUGGACCCGUUACCCGGGUUGCGGACAGUGUCUGGUGGGUAGUUUGACUGGGGCGGUCUCCUCCUAAAGAGUAACGGAGGAGCACGAAGGUUGGCUAAUCCUGGUCGGACAUCAGGAGGUUAGUGCAAUGGCAUAAGCCAGCUUGACUGCGAGCGUGACGGCGCGAGCAGGUGCGAAAGCAGGUCAUAGUGAUCCGGUGGUUCUGAAUGGAAGGGCCAUCGCUCAACGGAUAAAAGGUACUCCGGGGAUAACAGGCUGAUACCGCCCAAGAGUUCAUAUCGACGGCGGUGUUUGGCACCUCGAUGUCGGCUCAUCACAUCCUGGGGCUGAAGUAGGUCCCAAGGGUAUGGCUGUUCGCCAUUUAAAGUGGUACGCGAGCUGGGUUUAGAACGUCGUGAGACAGUUCGGUCCCUAUCUGCCGUGGGCGCUGGAGAACUGAGGGGGGCUGCUCCUAGUACGAGAGGACCGGAGUGGACGCAUCACUGGUGUUCGGGUUGUCAUGCCAAUGGCACUGCCCGGUAGCUAAAUGCGGAAGAGAUAAGUGCUGAAAGCAUCUAAGCACGAAACUUGCCCCGAGAUGAGUUCUCCCUGAGACUUUAGGUCUCCUGAAGGAACGUUGAAGACGACGACGUUGAUAGGCCGGGUGUGUAAGCGCAGCGAUGCGUU
rnacentral:rRNA from 1 species